rnacentral:rRNA from 1 species
GGAAUUGUUCACAAUGGGCGCAAGCCUGAUGACGCAACGCCGCGUGGAGGAUGAAGGUCUUCGGAUUGUAAACUCCUGUUGCCCGGGACGAAUAGCUCCGACCUAACACGUCGGAGUCUGACGGUACCGGGUGAGGAAGCCCCGGCUAACUCCGUGCCAGCAGCCGCGGUAAUACGGAGGGGGCUAGCGUUGUUCGGAAUUACUGGGCGUAAAGCGCGCGUAGGCGGGCUGUUAAGUCGGGGGUGAAAUCCCGGGGCUCAACCCCGGAACUGCCUUCGAUACUGGCAGCCUGGAGUCCGAGAGAGGUGAGUGGAAUUCCGAGUGUAGAGGUGAAAUUCGUAGAUAUUCGGAGGAACACCAGUGGCGAAGGCGGCUCACUGGCUCGGUACUGACGCUGAGGUGCGAAAGCGUGGGGAGCAAA